UGAGUUCGCGGGAGAGUAGGUUAUUGCCAGGGUUUUUAUUUUUAUACUUUAAACUUUGAUUUUAUUUUUAUGUUUUUUAAAUAUUGGUGUUUUUGAAUGUGUUGUUUAAAUAACAUAAAAAAUAAAAUAUAUAUUGACAUGUAUUAAACAAAGAUAUAUAUUAUUUUAUGUUGUAUAAAUAAAUUGGCAAAAUAGAGAUGGAAGAUAAAAAUAUGGUCAAAGUAAUAAGAGUCUAUGGUGAAUGCCUAGGA
rnacentral:misc_RNA from 1 species